rnacentral:piRNA from 1 species
UGGUAGGGAUGGAUAUGAAUUAGCUGU